rnacentral:rRNA from 1 species
UUCCGGUUGAUCCCGCCGGAGGCCACUGCUAUGGGGGUCCGACUAAGCCAUGCGAGUCAUGGGGCGCCUUGCGCGCACCGGCGGACGGCUCAGUAACACGUCGGUAACCUACCCUCGGGAGGGGGAUAACCCCGGGAAACUGGGGCUAAUCCCCCAUAGGCCUGAGGUACUGGAAGGUCCUCAGGCCGAAAGGGGCUCUGCCCGCCCGAGGAUGGGCCGGCGGCCGAUUAGGUAGUUGGUGGGGUAACGGCCCACCAAGCCGAAGAUCGGUACGGGCCAUGAGAGUGGGAGCCCGGAGAUGGACACUGAGACACGGGUCCAGGCCCUACGGGGCGCAGCAGGCGCGAAACCUCCGCAAUGCGGGCAACCGCGACGGGGGGACCCCCAGUGCCGUGGCAUCGCCACGGCUUUUCCGGAGUGUAAAAAGCUCCGGGAAUAAGGGCUGGGCAAGGCCGGUGGCAGCCGCCGCGGUAAUACCGGCGGCCCGAGUGGUGGCCGCUAUUAUUGGGCCUAAAGCGUCCGUAGCCGGGCCCGUAAGUCCCUGGCGAAAUCCCACGGCUCAACCGUGGGGCUUGCUGGGGAUACUGCGGGCCUUGGGACCGGGAGAGGCCGGGGGUACCCCUGGGGUAGGGGUGAAAUCCUAUAAUCCCAGGGGGACCGCCAGUGGCGAAGGCGCCCGGCUGGAACGGGUCCGACGGUGAGGGACGAAGGCCAGGGGAGCGAACCGGAUUAGAUACCCGGGUAGUCCUGGCUGUAAAGGAUGCGGGCUAGGUGUCGGGCGAGCUUCGAGCUCGCCCGGUGCCGAAGGGAAGCCGUUAAGCCCGCCGCCUGGGGAGUACGGCCGCAAGGCUGAAACUUAAAGGAAUUGGCGGGGGAGCACUACAAGGGGUGGAGCGUGCGGUUUAAUUGGAGUCAACGCCGGA